GUGAAGAUUUGGGCAGGCCAUACGGACGCCAAAAAGUGUCCCUGGCCGCCUACACCCACUAUACAUCCACAAACCCGUGUGCACUGUCUUGGAGAAAGGCUUCAGAGAAGUUUUUUGUGGAUGUAUAGUGGGUCUUUCUUCGCUACAAACUCGAAUGGUUAGUAUGAACGUGGAACUUGGUUGGACCGUCACUGGCCAACAAACUAUACA
rnacentral:misc_RNA from 1 species